CAUUGGGGACAUCAGUGACACAGGGACAGAAGGACAUUGGGGACACAGGGACAGAAGGACAUUGGGGACAGACGGACAGAAGGACAUUGGGGUCACAGCAGGUCCUGAGCAGUGUCCCCAUCCCCGUGUCCCACUGAGGGCCGGGACCACCGCGGAUCCCAAAGGAUCCCAGAGACCCCAAAGGAUCCCAGAGACCCCAAAUGUCCCAGAGACCCCAAAAGGCUCCACAGACCCCAAAGACCCCACAGACCCCAAAAGGCUCCAGGACCCCAAAAGGCUCCACAGACCCCAAAGGAUCCCAAAGGUCCCACAGACCCCAAAAGGCUCCACAGACCCCAAAAGGCUCCACAGACCCUCAGUUUCUAUUGACCCCAAAAGAUUCUCUCGACCCCAAAAGGAUUUUAUGGCCCCUGAAGGGUUUUAUUGACCCCAAAAGUUCCCACAGCCCCCAAAGUUUUAUUGACCCCAAAAGAUUCCACAGCUCCUGGUGAGUUCUGCAGACCCCAAAAAGGAUUUUAUGGACCCCAAAAAGGAUUUUAUAAACCCCAAAAAGGAUUUUAUAAACCCCAAAUGAUUUUAUGAACCCCAAAAAGGAUUUUAUAAACCCCAAAAAGGAUUUUAUAAACCCCAAAAAGGAUUUUAUAGACCCCAAAUGAUUUUAUGGACCCCAAAAAGGAUUUUAUAAACCCCAAAAAGGAUUUUAUAAACCCCAAAAAGGAUUUUAUGGCCCCCCCAAAAAGGAUUUUAGGGACCCCAAAAAGGAUUUUAUAAACCCCAAAUGAUUUUAUGAACCCCAAAAAGGAUUUUAUGGACCCCAAAAAGGAUUUUAUGGACCCCAAAAAGGAUUUUAUGGACCCCCCAAAGGAUUCCACAGACCCCAAAAGUCUUUUAUGGCCCCUGAAGGAUUUUAAGCCCCCACCCCAAAGGAUUUUAAUGACCCCAAAGGCAUCCACAGACCCCAAAAAGGAUUUUAUGGACCCCAAAAAGGGUUUUAUGGACCCCAAAAAGGAUUUUAUAAACCCCAAAAAGGAUUUUAUAAACCCCAAAUGAUUUUAUGGACCCCAAAAAGGAUUUUAUGGACCCCAAAAAGGAUUUUAUGGACCCCAAAAAGGAUUUUAUGGACCCCAAAAGUUUCUGGAGACCCCAAAGAUUUGCAGGGAUGGAUUUUGCAGCCCCAAAGGUCGAAGGUCAGCGGGGUUUUAUGGCUUUGGGGUUUAAUUGUUUAGGGGUUUAAUUGCUUUGGGGUUUAAUUGCUUUAGGGUUUUAUGGCUUUGGGGUUUUAUGGCUUUGGGGUUUUAUGGCUUUGGGGUUUAAUUGCUUUGGGGUUUAAUUGCUUUGGGGUUUUAUGGCUUUGGGGUUUUAUGGCUUUGGGGUUUAAUUGCUUUGGGGUUUUAUGGCUCUGGGGUUUUAUGGUCCCAGUUUUACACCCCGAUGUGUGAAAGUGCCUCCUGCCAUAAAGAUUUGGGAAUUUU